rnacentral:tRNA from 1 species
GGGGAUUUAGCUCAGUGGUAGAGCGCUUGCCUACCAAGCACAAGGCCCUGGGUUCGAUCCCCAGCUCCG